AUUGAACGCUGGCGGCGUGCCUAACACAUGCAAGUCGAUCGGUAACAGGUGUAGCAAUACAUGCUGACGAGAGGCGGACGGGUGAGUAAUGCUUGGGAAUCUGCCUAUUAGUGGGGGACAACCCGGGAAACUCGGGCUAAUACCGCAUACGCUCUACGGAGGAAAGCCGGGGACCGCAAGGCCUGGCGCUAAUAGAUGAGCCCAAGUCGGAUUAGCUAGUUGGUAGGGAACGGCCUACCAAGGCGACAAUCCGUAGCUGGUCUGAGAGGACGACCAGCCACACCGGAACUGAGACACGGUCCGGACUCCUACGGGAGGCAGCAGUGGGGAAUAUUGGACAAUGGGGGCAACCCUGAUCCAGCGACGCCGCGUGGGUGAAGAGGGCCUGCGGGUUUGUAAAGCCCUUUCGGUGGGGAAGAAAAGUCUCGACCUAAUACGUCGGGACCUUGACGUAACCCACUAAAGAAGCACCGGCUAACUCUGUGCCAGCAG
rnacentral:rRNA from 1 species